ACACAAUCAUCGCCUUGGAAGCUUCAUCACGAUACUACUUUGAUUUCUUCUUCCCUCUUCAGAAAUGCAAUGUGCAAAUUCAAUUCCUUGGUUUUGGAAGUCCCAUUGAGAACACGAUUCAUUUGCGCCGGCAAAAUGCUCUGACCGAGAAAGAAUUGAAGGACCACGCUGAGUGUUGUUAUCCCGAUAGUUCUUUCAUAUCAGUCCGUGUGUAUUCCUGGGCGAACGUGCUCGUGUGGUCUCAGGAGUUGCGGAGGUCACGGCUCUGGGACAGCUGUUUCCUCGCCCUAUGCUGCAGAACCUACCCCGGAAGAGAGAGCCCAGAGAAUUGCCAAAGCUGUCCGCAAACAGUCAACAGAAGUGAAGGAAAAUUGGGAGCAAUUGAAAACCCGUGCGAGCAACUGGCAGAAACAGGUGGAAAAGGCGUUGGAGAAACUUUAAGAACUGCAGAAAGCUCUGGAUGAUCUUGAGGCUCAUGUGAUAACAGCUGAGGGGGUCCACACUGAUUGGCAACCUGUGGGUGACCUGCUUAUUGACUCAUUGCAGGAUCACAUUGAUAAAACCACAGGUGAGGACUAUCUGCAAAAUCUGAGAUUGGGUUUUGAAAGACAGCAGCCUUUGUUUUGGAGAGAUAAUGGGAACUGCAGAUGCUGGAGAACGCGAGAUAACACCGUGUGGAACUGGAUGAAGACAGCAGGCCAAGCAGCAUCUCAGGAGCACAAAAGCUGACGUUUCGGGCCGAGAACCUUUUUUAGAAAAUGGGGAGGGGGUGCGGGUUCUGGAAUAAAUAGGGAGAGAGGGGGAGGCGGAUGGAAGAUGGAUGGAGGAGAAGAUAGGUGGAGAGGAGAGUAUGGGUAGGGAGGCAGGGAGGGGAUAGGUCAGUCUGGGGAGGCCGGACAGGUCAAGGGAGCGGGAUGAGGGGAAAUAGGGGUGCGGCAUGAGGUGGGAGGGGGGAUGGGUGAGAGGAAGAAUAGGUUUGGGAGGCAGGGACGAGCUGGGCUGGUUUUGGGAUGCAGUGGCAGGACAGGAGAUUUGGAAGCUUGUGAAAUCCACACUGAUACCAUUGGGCUGCAGGGUUCCCAAGCAGAAUAUGAGUUGCUGUUCCUGCAACCUUCGGGUGGCGUCAUUAUGGCACUGCAGGAGGUCCAGGUUGGACAUGUCCUGUCAGGAAUGGGAGGGGGAGUUGAAAUGGUUCGUGACUGGGAGGUGCAGUUGUUUAUUGCAAACUGAGCGUAGGUGUUCUGAAAAGCGGUCCCCAAGCCUCUGCAUCGUUUCCCCAAUGUGGAGGAAGCCACAACGGGGACAGCGGAUGUUUUGGAUAUUCCUUAAGCAUUGAUUUUCAUUCAGAGUUGGUUGGAUUUUGCUGAAGCAAUAGACAUAACUCACUAUGACAUAGACAAUGUCAGAGUUAAUGUUUCGCGUCCUGUGACCCUUCCUCAGAUCUCACUCUUCACUGAUGCUGCCAGACCUGCUGAGCUUUUCCAGCAACUUCUGCUUUUGUUGCUGAUUUACAGUGCCCACAGUUAGAACAUAGAACAGUACAGCACAGAAAAGGCCCUUCAGCCCACAAUGUUGUGCCGACCAUUGAUCCUCAUGUAUGCACCCUCAAAUUUCUGUGACCAUAUACAUGUCCAGCAGUCUCUCAAAUGACCCCAUUGACCUUGCUUCCACAACUGCUGCUGGCAACGCAUUCCAUGCUCUCACAACUCUCUGCGUAAAGAACCUGCCUCUGACAUCCCCUCUAUACUUUCCACCAACCAGCUUAAAACUAUGACCCCUCGUGCUCGCCAUUUCUGCUCUGGGAAAUAGUCUCUGGCUAUCAACUCUAUCUAUGCCUCUCAUUAUCUUGUAUACCUCAAUUAGGUCCCCUCUCCUCCUCCUUUUCUCCAAUGAAAAGAGACCGAGCUCAGUCAACCUCUCUUCAUAAGAUAAGCCCUCCAGUCCAGGCAGCAUCCUGGUAAACCUCCUCUGAACCCUCUCCAAAGCAUCUACAUCUUUCCUAUAAUAGGGCGCCCAGAACUGGACGCAGUAUUCCAAGUGCGGUCUAACCAAAGUUUUAUAGAGCUGCAACAAGAUCUCACGACUCUUAA